rnacentral:rRNA from 1 species
AUACGGAGGGAGCGAGCGUUAAUCGGAAUUACUGGGCGUAAAGCGCGCGUAGGCGGCUUUGUAAGUCGGAUGUGAAAGCCCAGGGCUCAACCCUGGAAUUGCAUUCGAUACUGCAGAGCUAGAGUAUGGUAGAGGGAAGUGGAAUUUCCGGUGUAGCGGUGAAAUGCGUAGAUAUCGGAAGGAACACCAGUGGCGAAGGCGACUUCCUGGGCCAAUACUGACGCUGAGGUGCGAAAGCGUGGGGAGCAAACAGGAUUAGAAACCCCGGUAGUCC